rnacentral:rRNA from 1 species
CCUACGGGUGGCUGCAGGCGCGCAAACUUUACAAUGCGAGCAAUCGUGAUAAGGAAACCCUGAGUGCCUGUCGAUGCAGGCUGUUCAUAUAUCUAAAUCAUAUGUGAAGAAAGGGCAGGGCAAGACCGGUGCCAGCCGCCGCGGUAAUACCGGCUGCUCGAGUGAUGGCCACUAUUACUGGGUUUAAAGCGUCCGUAGCUUGACUGUUAGGUCUCUUGGGAAAUCUUCACGCUCAACGUGAAGGCGUCUAAGAGAUACCGGCAGUCUUGGAACUGGGAGAGGUAAACCGUACUUCGGGGG